AGAGUUUGAUCCUGGCUCAGAUUGAACGUUGGCGGAAUGCUUUACACAUGCAAGUCGAACGGUAGAGGGGGCAACCCCUUGAGAGUGGCGAACGGGUGAGUAAUAUAUCGGAACGUGCCCAGUCGUGGGGGAUAACGUAGUGAAAAUUACGCUAAUACCGCAUACGAUCUAAGGAUGAAAGCGGGGGAUCGCAAGACCUCGCGCGACUGGAGCGGCCGAUAUCAGAUUAGGUAGUUGGUAGGGUAAAGGCCUACCAAGCCAACGAUCUGUAGCUGGUCUGAGAGGACGACCAGCCACACUGGAACUGAGACACGGUCCAGACUCCUACGGGAGGCAGCAGUGGGGAAUUUUGGACAAUGGGCGAAAGCCUGAUCCAGCCAUUCCGCGUGCAGGAUGAAGGCCCUCGGGUUGUAAACUGCUUUUGUACAGAACGAAAAGGUUUCUAUUAAUACUAGGAGCUCAUGACGGUACUGUAAGAAUAAGCACCGGCUAACUACGUGCCAGCAGCCGCGGUAAUACGUAGGGUGCAAGCGUUAAUCGGAAUUACUGGGCGUAAAGCGUGCGCAGGCGGUUAUAUAAGUCAGAUGUGAAAUCCCCGGGCUCAACCUGGGAACUGCAUUUGAGACUGUAUAGCUAGAGUACGGUAGAGGGGGAUGGAAUUCCGCGUGUAGCAGUGAAAUGCGUAGAUAUGCGGAGGAACACCGAUGGCGAAAGGCAAUCCCCUGGACCUGUACUGACGCUCAUGCACGAAAGCGUGGGGAGCAAACAGGAUUAGAUACCCUGGUAGUCCACGCCCUAAACGAUGUCAACUGGUUGUUGGGUCUUAACUGACUCAGUAACGAAGCUAACGCGUGAAGUUGACCGCCUGGGGAGUACGGGCCGCAGGUGAAACUCAANGAUUGACGGGGACCCGCACA
rnacentral:rRNA from 1 species